GACGAACGCUGGCGGCGUGCUUAACACAUGCAAGUCGAACGGAAAGGCCCUGCUUUUGUGGGGUGCUCGAGUGGCGAACGGGUGAGUAACACGUGAGUAACCUGCCCUUGACUUUGGGAUAACUUCAGGAAACUGGGGCUAAUACCGGAUAGGAGCUUCUGCUGCAUGGGGGGGGAUGGAAAGAUUCGGCGGUUGGGGAUGGACUCGCGGCUUAUCAGCUUGUUGGUGGGGUAGUGGCUUACCAAGGCUUCGACGGGUAGCCGGCCUGAGAGGGUGACCGGCCACCUUGGGACUGAGAUACGGACCAGACUCCUACGGGAGGCAGCAGUGGGGAACAUUGCGGAGUGGGCCGAAGCCUGAUGCAGCAACGCCGCGUGCGGGAUGCCGGCCUUCGGGUUGUAAACCUCUUUCGCAUGAGAUGAAGCGUGAGUGACGGUACUGGGUAAAGAAGCACCGGCUAACUACGUG
rnacentral:rRNA from 1 species